GGUUAAGUUAGAAAGGGCGCACGGUGGAUGCCUUGGCACUAGGAGCCGAAGAAGGACGGGACUAACACCGAUAUGCUUUGGGGAGCUGUACGUAAGCGUUGAUCCAGAGAUUUCCGAAUGGGGGAACCCACUAUCUUUAGUCGGAUAGUAUCCUUACGUGAAUACAUAGCGUGAGGAAGGCAGACCCAGGGAACUGAAACAUCUAAGUACCUGGAGGAAGAGAAAGAAAAAUCGAUUUCCUGAGUAGCGGCGAGCGAAACGGAAAGAGCCCAAACCAAGAAGCUUGCUUCUUGGGGUUGUAGGACACUCUAUACGGAGUUACAAAAGAAAGUUAUAAAUGAAGCGGUCUGGAAAGGCCCGCCAAAGACGGUAACAGCCCGGUAGUUGAAAUGGCUUUCCCUCCAGAGUGGAUCCUGAGUACGGCGGACCACGUGAAAUUCCGUCGGAAUCCGGGAGGACCAUCUCCCAAGGCUAAAUACUCCCUAGUGACCGAUAGUGAACCAGUACCGUGAGGGAGAGGUGAAAAGCACCCCGGAAGGGGAGUGAAACAGUUCCUGAAACCGUGUGCCUACAAGUAGUUAGAGCCCGUUAAUGGGUGAUAGCGUGCCUUUUGUAGAAUGAACCGGCGAGUUACGAUUUGUUGCAAGGUUAAGCGGAAAAAGCGGAGCCGUAGCGAAAGCGAGUCUGAAUAGGGCGCAUAAGUAACAGGUCGUAGACCCGAAACCAGGUGAUCUACCCAUGUCCAGGAUGAAGGUAAGGUAAUACUUACUGGAGGUCCGAACCCACGCACGUUGAAAAGUGCGGGGAUGAGGUGUGGGUAGCGGAGAAAUUCCAAUCGAACUUGGAGAUAGCUGGUUCUCUCCGAAAUAGCUUUAGGGCUAGCCUCGAGGUAAAGAGUCAUGGAGGUAGAGCACUGUUUGGACUAGGGGCCCUUCUCGGGUUACCGAAUUCAGAUAAACUCCGAAUGCCAUGUACUUAUACUCGGGAGUCAGACUGCGAGUGAUAAGAUCCGUAGUCGAAAGGGAAACAGCCCAGACCACCAGUUAAGGUCCCCAAAUAUAUGUUAAGUGGAAAAGGAUGUGGGGUUGCUUAGACAACCAGGAUGUUGGCUUAGAAGCAGCCACCAUUGAAAGAGUGCGUAAUAGCUCACUGGUCGAGUGACCCCGCGCCGAAAAUGUACCGGGGCUAAACAUAUUACCGAAACUGUGGAUGAACCUCUUUAGAGGUUCGUGGUAGGAGAGCGUUCUAAGGGCGGUGAAGUCAGACCGGAAGGACUGGUGGAGCGCUUAGAAGUGAGAAUGCCGGUAUGAGUAGCGAAAGAAGGGUGAGAAUCCCUUCCACCGAAUAUCUAAGGUUUCCUGAGGAAGGCUCGUCCGCUCAGGGUUAGUCGGGACCUAAGCCGAGGCCGAUAGGCGUAGGCGAUGGACAACAGGUAGAGAUUCCUGUACCAGUGCUAAUUGUUUAACCGAUGGGGUGACACAGAAGGAUAGGGAAUCGCACGAAUGGAAAUGUGCGUCCAAGCAGUGAGUGUGAGAAGUAGGCAAAUCCGCUUCUCGCGAAGCAUGAGCUGUGAUGGGGAAGGAAAUUAAGUACGGAAGUUCCUGAUUUCACGCUGUCAAGAAAAGCCUCUAGGAAGAGUAGUACUGCCCGUACCGCAAACCGACACAGGUAGAUGAGGAGAGAAUCCUAAGGUGAGCGAGAGAACUCUCGUUAAGGAACUCGGCAAAAUGACCCCGUAACUUCGGGAGAAGGGGUGCUCUAUUAGGGUGCAAGCCCGAGAGAGCCGCAGUGAAUAGGCCCAGGCGACUGUUUAGCAAAAACACAGGUCUCUGCAAAACCGUAAGGUGACGUAUAGGGGCUGACGCCUGCCCGGUGCUGGAAGGUUAAGAGGAGUGCUUAGCUUCGGCGAAGGUACGAAUUGAAGCCCCAGUAAACGGCGGCCGUAACUAUAACGGUCCUAAGGUAGCGAAAUUCCUUGUCGGGUAAGUUCCGACCCGCACGAAAGGCGCAACGAUCUGGGCACUGUCUCAACGAGAGACUCGGUGAAAUUAUAGUACCUGUGAAGAUGCAGGUUACCCGCGACAGGACGGAAAGACCCCGUGGAGCUUUACUGCAACCUGAUAUGGAAUGUUUGUACCGCUUGUACAGGAUAGGUAGGAGCCGAAGAGACGUGUGCGCUAGCAUACGAGGA
rnacentral:rRNA from 1 species